rnacentral:rRNA from 1 species
CCUACGGGUGGCAGCAGUGGGGGAUAUUGCACAAUGGGGGAAACCCUGAUGCAGCGACGCCGCGUGUGGGAAGACGGUCCUCUGGAUUGUAAACCACUGUCGCCAGGGACGAAGCUGACGGUACCUGGGGAGGAGGCUCCGGCAAACUACGGGCCAGCAGCGGCGGUAAUACGUGGGGGGCAAGCGUUGUCCGGAAUUACUGGUUGUAAGGGGAGCGUAGCGGGGAUGGCAAGCUGGGUGGAAAAUCUACCGGCUAAACUGGUAGUCGCACUCAAAACUGCUAAGCUAGAGUGAAGUAGAGGCAGGCGGAAUUCCUAGUGUAGCGGUGAAAUGCGUAGAUAUUAGGAGGAACACCAGUGGCGAAGGCGGCCUGCUGGACUUUUACUGACGCUGAGGCUCGAAAGUGUGGGGAGCAAACAGGAUUAGAUACCCUAGUAGUC